rnacentral:rRNA from 1 species
UACGGAGGGUGCGAGCGUUAUCCGGAAUUACUGGGUUUAAAGGGUGCGUAGGCGGGAUUUUAAGUCUAAGGUGAAAGUUUGUCGCUUAACGAUAGAAUUGCCUUGGAUACUGAAGUUCUUGAAUUAGGUUGAGGAUAGCGGAAUGUGACAUGUAGCGGUGAAAUGCAUAGAUAUGUCAUAGAACACCAAUUGCGAAGGCAGCUAUCUGGGCUUAUAUUGACGCUGAGGCACGAAAGCGUGGGGAUCGAACAGG